AGCUCAGUUGGUAGAGCAACAGAUUGAAGCUCUGUGUGUCGCUGGUUCGAUUCCUGUA
rnacentral:tRNA from 1 species